rnacentral:rRNA from 1 species
UACGAAGGGGGCUAGCGUUGCUCGGAAUCACUGGGCGUAAAGGGUGCGUAGGCGGGUCUUUAAGUCAGGGGUGAAAUCCUGGAGCUCAACUCCAGAACUGCCUUUGAUACUGAGGAUCUUGAGUUCGGGAGAGGUGAGUGGAACUGCGAGGGUAGAGGUGAAAUUCGUAGAUAUUCGGAAGAACACCAGUGGCGAAGGCGGCUCACUGGUCCGGUACUGACGCUGAGGUGCGAAAGCGUGGGGAGCAAACAGG